rnacentral:tRNA from 1 species
GCUACAGUGGCGGAAUGGUAGACGCAGGAGACUUAAAAUCUCCCGGAGGUUAACUCUGUACGGGUUCGAGUCCCGUCUGUAGUA